AGUUCGGAUCGCAGCCUGCAACCCGGCUGCGUGAAGCUGGAAUCGCUAGUAAUCGCGGAUCAGAAUGCCGCGGUGAAUACGUUCCCGGGUCUUGUACACACCGCCCGUCACACCAUGGGAGCCGGAAACGCCCGAAGCCAGUGGCCUGACCGCGAGGAGGGAGCUGUCGAAGGCGGGUCCGGUGACCGGGGUGAAGUCGUAACAAGGUAAC
rnacentral:rRNA from 1 species